AUUAAUACAUGUGUGGCAGAAAAAUUAUGAAGAGUUGAGCACAUAUUACUUCGCACUAUAUCCCAAUUCUUUAAUAAUAGACUUUUAAAAAUAAAUACGUUUCAAUUGUUUGGCUGGCAUGUGGUAAACAAAAGUUUAAAUAAUUCAAGUUUCUAUUAAUUUAAAUUUUAUUUAAAAAUACAUCAUUUCAUUAAUAUAUAAAUGUAGUGAUUAUCGAGUGUUACUUUUAAAGUGCUUGCAUUGGUCUUACGGGAAAUUCUAGAAUACUUUUGAUAUAUUAUAACUAAUCGAUAUAUACAUGACAUGUGUAGUUGAGUUUAAUAUAACCACCACUUAAUGAUGAUUUUUUAAAAUAAAUGCACACAUGUCAUAACAUCAUUUACUGAUUGUAUAGUCGACAUGGUACCUCUGAUAUAUUCUAAAGUUUCCCUGAUCUCACAUAUAAGGUAAGUAAACUAUAAAUAUGUGUAAUUACAUAACAAUAGAGCCUAUUUACUAUUAGAUUACAAGUCCAAUAGGUAUUGAACUAAAUGUUGAUAUCAUUUUUAUAUUGAGUUUUUAGAAAAUCAUGAUUGAUAAUUAUAUAGGUAAUUAAAUAUUAACUGUUUAUUAUUAUAUAUACACACACGGUUUAAGAUUAAUAAGAAUCAUUACGGUAAGAUCUAAGUUAUUAAAAAUUAAAACAACUAACAUCAAUAUUGAAUAUGAAUUUAUUAGUUGAAGAAUUUGGAAUAUGAAUGAUUGACGAUAUUUACUUGUUAAAAUAAAAAAGGAGAAUGAAAAUGAAAUAUGUGGGUCUCACCUCUUUUGGGAUUAAGAAAUGGGAACUUGAUUAUUGGAGGAUUGAUAAUUAAGUUCUCAUUCUUUGAACUCAUCAUUUUAUCUCACUUAA
rnacentral:lncRNA from 1 species